UUCUUGGUCAUUUAGAGGAAGUAAAAGUCGUAACAAGGUUUCCGUAAGUGAACCUGCGGAAGGAUCAUUAUAGAAAAUGAAAAUCUCGAAGAGCUGGGGGGGGGGAGAGCCUGCGCUUAAUUGCGCGGCUUGAUUUACCCUCCGCCUUUGAUACACACAGUGGAGUUUCUACUUUUUUGUUCUCUUUGGGGAAGUGCUUUUAAAGGCGUCUGUCCCCAGAGGUAAACACAAACAACAUUUUUAUGAAAUUAUAAAAAGUCAAAAACGAAUUAAAACAAAAUAUUCAAAACUUUCAACAACGGAUCUCUUGGUUCUCGCAUCGAUGAAGAACGCAGCGAACUGCGAUACGUAAUGUGAAUUGCAGAAUUCCGUGAAUCAUCGAAUCUUUGAACGCACAUUGCGCCCCUUGGUAUUCCAGGGGGCAUGCCUGUUUGAGCGUCAUUUCCCUCUCAAACAUAGCUUUUAUGUUUAUGUUUGGUAGUGAGCGAUACUCUUUUUGAGUUUGCUUGAAAGUGGGAGGCCAUAGGCGGAGCUUAGUUUGCGACUGUGCCGAGAGGCAUGGGAGCGGCCUAGCCACGAAAAGUCGUAUUAGGUUUUACCGACUCGGCGGAAUAGUGGAGAGGUUUCUUUUUUUUUUUAUUCUAAGGUAAGCCGUCUGGCUAGACAAAAUUCUCAAAGUUUGACCUCAAAUCAGGUAGGAUUACCCGCUGAACUUAAGCAUAUCAAUAAGCGGAGGAA
rnacentral:rRNA from 1 species